rnacentral:lncRNA from 1 species
CCCAGUGGACUGUUGAAAUCCCCCAUUAUAAGCUAGGGCCCAGUUUGUUGGACAGCUCUCAAGUUCCUCCAUAAUGGUGCUCUUUGGUGGGUAGUGUGUAGACCAUAGACAAAGGUGAUAUAGCUAGUAAAGGUUGAGUUUAUGUCUUUCACUUGACAAUGAAUUGAUUGAUUAGUGCUCUCCAGUAUUGCCACUUGAACAUUUACCUCUUUCCACAAUAUCCAUAUUCUGCCACUACGAGCAUGCACAUAGUUAUUCCCUACAUUCUAGUCAUCUCCCAGCCUCUUGUAUAUUGCCAUUGGAUUCUGCUGCUUUACCCUAGUUUCUAGAAGGCUAUCAUAUCAACUCUAUUAGUCCUCAGGAAUUUGACUAACUCUCUCUGCUUGUAGGACUUGUUUGGUCCUCUAAUUUUCCAGGUUACAAUUAUCAUAGGGAAACAGUGGAUGUAGUACCUCCUGGAUCAACUGGCUCUAUGCUGCAUUCUCCCUGUUGUUGGUUUUCAUCAGGGGGUUCUACUAUGGUGAGUAAUGCAAAUGUAUUCCUCCUGGCUGCCUCAGCAUAGUUGGUCAUUUUGUUUUGAUUUUUGUCCUUAGGGCCUUGAACAGCUGCAACCUGUUUGCCUUUGUUGUUCCUUUCUACAGCAGGAAUCUCAGGUUGUUUGUCAUUCUGUGCCCUUCUACUAUCUCCUCAGGAACAGCUUUUGGUUGCCAUUGCACUCGGGUUACCUUCUUUUUUCUCCUUCUCUGUCUCUGGGGUUCUACAGUCUGUUGUUUCUCCUGUUGACAGUCAACAUUUUUGUGACCAAUUCUCAGCCUGUUUGUCAUUCUGUUGUCCUUCAACUAUCUCCUCAGGAGCAGCUUUUGGUUGCCAUUGCACUCGGGUUACCUUCUUUUUCCUUCUUCUCUGUCUCUGGGCUUCUACAAUCUGUUGUUCUUC